AACGAACGCUGGCGGCAGGCUUAACACAUGCAAGUCGAGCGCCCCGCAAGGGGAGCGGCAGACGGGUGAGUAACGCGUGGGAACGUACCUUUUGGUUCGGAACAACUCCGGGAAACUGGAGCUAAUACCGGAUAAGCCCUAACGGGGAAAGAUUUAUCGCCGAAAGAUCGGCCCGCGUCUGAUUAGCUAGUUGGUGAGGUAACGGCUCACCAAGGCGACGAUCAGUAGCUGGUCUGAGAGGAUGAUCAGCCACACUGGGACUGAGACACGGCCCAGACUCCUACGGGAGGCAGCAGGGGGGAAUAUUGGACAAUGGGCGCAAGCCUGAUCCAGCCAUGCCGCGUGAGUGAUGAAGGCCUUAGGGUUGUAAAGCUCUUUUGUCCGGGAAGAUAAUGACUGUACCGGAAGAAUAAGCCCCGGCUAACUUCGU
rnacentral:rRNA from 1 species